CGAAUAAAGUUGUAAGUGGAUAAAUGGUUAAAAAAUUUGAACUAGAGAUAAAAUAUGAUCCAAAUGGAAUUUCAGAGAAUGCAGCUUCACUUAUCCAAGCAGAAACAACAUUUAUAUUGGCUCAACCCUGCUAACUAGAGUAUAUCUGCAGCACCUUUAGUUCGGUAAGUUUCACUUACUCCAUGCAUGAUCUAUGCUAGGACCAUUAACUGCUACUACUUAUUUCCUUUUCCUUUGAAAAAAUAUUGCUGUGUUCAUUUAUAUCAAUUCACAUCAACAUAGCUUGUGAUAUUGAUGUAAGAUGGUCUAGGCUUAGUGUUCUUUAGCUCUAUAAAAUAUUUAUAGGGAGAGCUUAUAUAACUAUAUGUUUGCAUACUACUGAGAGCUCCAUCGAGAGCUCCUAUAUCAUAUUAAAUUAUUAAGAGUUCCUAUAUCCUCAUUGUUCCAAAAAAA